UUAGUUGCCAUCGGGUCACGCCGGGAACUCUAAGGGGACCGCCCCGGACAACGGGGAGGAAGGUGGGGAUGACGUCAAGUCAGCAUGGCCUUUAUGUCCAGGGCUACACACGUGCUACAAUGGUUGGUACAAAGGGUUGCCAAGCCGUGAGGCGGAGCCAAGUCUCAAAAAGCCAACCUCAGUUCGGAUUGCAGUCUGCAACUCGACUGCAUGAAGUUGGAAUCGCUAGUAAUCGCUGAUCAGCAGGCAGCGGUGAAUACGUUCCCGGGCCUU
rnacentral:rRNA from 1 species